rnacentral:rRNA from 1 species
UUAAAUUGAAGAGUUUGAUCAUGGCUCAGAUUGAACGCUGGCGGCAGGCCUAACACAUGCAAGUCGAACGGUAACAGGAAGCAGCUUGCUGCUUUGCUGACGAGUGGCGGACGGGUGAGUAAUGUCUGGGAAACUGCCUGAUGGAGGGGGAUAACUACUGGAAACGGUGGCUAAUACCGCAUAAUGUCGCAAGACCAAAGAGGGGGACCUUCGGGCCUCUUGCCAUCAGAUGUGCCCAGAUGGGAUUAGCUUGUUGGUGAGGUAACGGCUCACCAAGGCGACGAUCCCUAGCUGGUCUGAGAGGAUGACCAGCCACACUGGAACUGAGACACGGUCCAGACUCCUACGGGAGGCAGCAGUGGGGAAUAUUGCACAAUGGGCGCAAGCCUGAUGCAGCCAUGCCGCGUGUAUGAAGAAGGCCUUCGGGUUGUAAAGUACUUUCAGCGGGGAGGAAGGUGUUGUGGUUAAUAACCGCAGCAAUUGACGUUACCCGCAGAAGAAGCACCGGCUAACUCCGUGCCAGCAGCCGCGGUAAUACGGAGGGUGCAAGCGUUAAUCGGAAUUACUGGGCGUAAAGCGCACGCAGGCGGUCUGUCAAGUCGGAUGUGAAAUCCCCGGGCUCAACCUGGGAACUGCAUUCGAAACUGGCAGGCUUGAGUCUUGUAGAGGGGGGUAGAAUUCCAGGUGUAGCGGUGAAAUGCGUAGAGAUCUGGAGGAAUACCGGUGGCGAAGGCGGCCCCCUGGACAAAGACUGACGCUCAGGUGCGAAAGCGUGGGGAGCAAACAGGAUUAGAUACCCUGGUAGUCCACGCCGUAAACGAUGUCUACUUGGAGGUUGUGCCCUUGAGGCGUGGCUUCCGGAGCUAACGCGUUAAGUAGACCGCCUGGGGAGUACGGCCGCAAGGUUAAAACUCAAAUGAAUUGACGGGGGCCCGCACAAGCGGUGGAGCAUGUGGUUUAAUUCGAUGCAACGCGAAGAACCUUACCUGGUCUUGACAUCCACAGAACUUUCCAGAGAUGGAUUGGUGCCUUCGGGAACUGUGAGACAGGUGCUGCAUGGCUGUCGUCAGCUCGUGUUGUGAAAUGUUGGGUUAAGUCCCGCAACGAGCGCAACCCUUAUCCUUUGUUGCCAGCGAUUAGGUCGGGAACUCAAAGGAGACUGCCAGUGAUAAACUGGAGGAAGGUGGGGAUGACGUCAAGUCAUCAUGGCCCUUACGACCAGGGCUACACACGUGCUACAAUGGCGCAUACAAAGAGAAGCGACCUCGCGAGAGCAAGCGGACCUCAUAAAGUGCGUCGUAGUCCGGAUUGGAGUCUGCAACUCGACUCCAUGAAGUCGGAAUCGCUAGUAAUCGUGGAUCAGAAUGCCACGGUGAAUACGUUCCCGGGCCUUGUACACACCGCCCGUCACACCAUGGGAGUGGGUUGCAAAAGAAGUAGGUAGCUUAACCUUCGGGAGGGCGCUUACCACUUUGUGAUUCAUGACUGGGGUGAAGUCGUAACAAGGUAACCGUAGGGGAACCUGCGGUUGGAUCACCUCCUUACCUGAAAGAAGC